UACGGGGGGGGCAAGCGUUGUUCGGAAUUACUGGGCGUAAAGGGCGUGUAGGCGGCCCGGUAAGUCCGCUGUAAAAGUCAAAGGCUUAACCUUUGAAUGUCAGUGGAUACUGCCGGGCUAGAGUCCGGAAGAGGCGAGUGGAACUCCUGGUGUAGCGGUGGAAUGCGCAGAUAUCAGGAAGAACACCAACGGCGAAGGCAGCUCGCUAGGACGGUACUGACGCUGAGACGCGAAAGCGUGGGGAGCGAACAGG
rnacentral:rRNA from 1 species